GCGUCAUCUUGAUUAUUAGACAAAUUCAAUCCUAUAACUCAGGUCAUGUUGGUAUGCUACUAAGAGAUAAAGCUGGAAGAUUUCUGAGAGGAAGAAAUCAUGCGGUUCAAAAGAACAGCCUCAAUGUUUGAAGCAUAAACAAUUGGGACAGAUGAGGAAGCUAUAUUCUGAGUAAUUCGGUCAACAGGAUAGCAUUCUGCAGGCAGCUGCACAAGUAGGUUUCGGUCGCACGAGGUCCUCAUUCUGAUCAAGGGUUUAGAGGGAAAGAGGUGCAGACGAAGGGCAAAAAUACUUUUGCACCUCCACGGAAUGUCAGGUCACUUGGUUAUACUAGCAACAUCAACACAAAACCUGAUGUGGUCGGGGAAGUUGCAGAUGAGCAGCCGAAUUCUAAU